AAUAACGCUAAGGGGUGUACGCCUAUUUGGGUGUGCUGAGAUUAUACCCUCCGAACCUGCACCGGAUCAUGCCGGCGAAGGGAAGCCUUUCAUUUUAUG
rfam:Prevotella sp. CAG:891 genomic scaffold, scf430